UGAGGAAUAUUGGUCAAUGGGCGUGAGCCUGAACCAGCCAAGCCGCGUGAGGGAAGACGGCCCUACGGGUUGUAAACCUCUUUUGCCGGGGGACAAAAGGCGGGACGUGUCCCGCCGUGAGGGUACCCGGAGAAAAAGCAUCGGCUAACUCCGUGCCAGCAGCCGCGGUAAUACGGAGGAUGCGAGCGUUAUCCGGAUUUAUUGGGUUUAAAGGGUGCGUAGGCGGCUCUGUAAGCCGGCGGUCAAAUGUCGGGGCUCAACCCCGGCCUGCCGUCGGAACUGCUGGGCUAGAGAGGGCGAGAAGUACGCGGAAUGCGCGGUGUAGCGGUGAAAUGCAUAGAUAUCGCGCAGAACUCCGAUUGCGAAGGCAGCGUACCGGCGCCUGUCUGACGCUGAGGCACGAAAGCGUGGGGAUCGAACAGG
rnacentral:rRNA from 1 species